rnacentral:rRNA from 1 species
GAUGAACGCUGGCGGCGUGCCUAAUACAUGCAAGUCGAGCGAACAGAUGAGGAGCUUGCUCCUCUGUCGUUAGCGGCGGACGGGUGAGUAACACGUGGAUAACCUACCUAUAAGACUGGGAUAACUUCGGGAAACCGGAGCUAAUACCGGAUAAUAUAUUGAACCGCAUGGUUCAUUGGUGAAAGACGGUUUUGCUGUUCCUUAUAGGUUGAUCCGCGCCGCAUUAGCUUGUUGGUAAGGUAACGGCUUACCAAGGCAACGAUGCGUAGCCGACCUGAGAGGGUGAUCGGCCACACUGGAACUGAGACACGGUCCAGACUCCUACGGGAGGCAGCAGUAGGGAAUCUUCCGCAAUGGGCGAAAGCCUGACGGAGCAACGCCGCGUGAGUGAUGAAGGUCUUCGGAUCGUAAAACUCUGUUAUUAGGGAAGAACAAAUGUGUAAGUAACUAGGGACGUCUUGACGGUACCUAAUGAGAAAGCCACGGCUAACUACGUG